UGGGAAUCUUCCGCAAUGGACGAAGUCUGACGGAGCAACGCCGCGUGUAUGAUGAAGGUCUUCGGAUUGUAAAGUGCUGUCAUUGGGGAAGAACGGUUUUCUUGAGAAUAUUGAGAAGACAUGACGGUACCCAAGGAGGAAGCCCCGGCUAACUACGUGCCAGCAGCCGCGGUAAUACGUAGGGGGCAAGCGUUGUCCGGAAUUAUUGGGCGUAAAGGGCGCGUAGGCGGGCCUUUAAGUCCGGUGUGAAAGAUCAGGGCUCAACCCUGAGAGUGCAUCGGAAACUGGAGGCCUUGAGGACAGGAGAGGAAAGUGGAAUUCCACGUGUAGCGGUGAAAUGCGUAGAUAUGUGGAGGAACACCAGUGGCGAAGGCGACUUUCUGGACUGUAACUGACGCUGAGGCGCGAAAGCGUGGGGAGCAAACAGGAUUAGAUACCCUGGUAGUCCACGCCGUAAACGAUGAGUGCUAGGUGUAGAGGGUAUCGACCCCUUCUGUGCCGCAGUUAACACAAUAAGCACUCCCGCCUGGGGAGUACGGCCGCAAGGUUGAAACUCAAAUGAAUUGAC
rnacentral:rRNA from 1 species